rnacentral:rRNA from 1 species
CCUACGGGUGGCAGCAGUGAGGAAUAUUGGUCAAUGGACGAGAGUCUGAACCAGCCAAGUAGCGUGAAGGAUGACUGCCCUAUGGGUUGUAAACUUCUUUUAUAUGGGAAUAAAACGUUCCACGUGUGGGAUUUUGUAUGUACCAUAUGAAUAAGGAUCGGCUAACUCCGUUCCAGCAGCCGCGGUAAUACGGAGGAUCCGAGCGUUAUCCGGGUUUAUUGGGUUUAAAGGGAGCGUAGGUGGAUUGUUAAGUCAGUUGUGAAAGUGUGCGGCUCAACCGUAAAAUUGCAGUUGACACUGGCAGUCUGGAGUACAGUAGAGGUAGGCGGAAUUCGUGGUGUAGCGGUGAAAUGCUUAGAUAUCACGAAGAACUCCGAGUGCGAAGGCAGCUCACUGGACUGCAACUGACACUGAGGCUCGAAAGUGUGGGUAUCAAACAGGAUUAGAUACCCCGGUAGUC